CAGUCGCCGCGGUAAUACAGAGGGUGCGAGCGUUAAUCGGAUUUACUGGGCGUAAAGCGUGCGUAGGCGGCUUCUUAAGUCGGAUGUGAAAUCCCUGAGCUUAACUUAGGAAUUGCAUUCGAUACUGGGAAGCUAGAGUAUGGGAGAGGAUGGUAGAAUUCCAGGUGUAGCGGUGAAAUGCGUAGAGAUCUGGAGGAAUACCGAUGGCGAAGGCAGCCAUCUGGCCUAAUACUGACGCUGAGGUACGAAAGCAUGGGGAGAAAACAGGAUUAGAUACCCCCGUAGUCCCUGUCUCUUAUAC
rnacentral:rRNA from 1 species